AUUUUUUGUGUGUGUUUUCCUAGUGAAAAAUUACAUUGAAGGAAAGUGGUGGGGCAAGAUAAUGGACUAGAAGUCUCCACCAAUUACCACCUCCCCUCCACAAGGAUACCAAUUCAAGAACUAUUUACUUGAAAAAAGAACCUCUGUAAGAGCUUGAAAUCAGGCGAGGACUCACAGGAUCUGGUUUUUACUUCGUUUCACUGAACGAGGCACUGAAGAGGUAUGUCCCAAGGAGUUCAAUAGCAGGGUCAUAUGGCAUCUCUGUGUUUAACCUUCUGUAGAACGGCCAAGUUGUUUACAAGGUGGCUGCACCUUUCUACAUUCCUUCCAAUAAUGGAGUCAAAUGGAAAUCAAGACAAGAAUUCCAGUGUGAAUACCAGGGGAGCAGUAUGUUUGGAUUUCCAAAACAAGGGGCCAGAAGAAGAAUAUCAGGUGCAAAGCAGGAGAUAAGGAGUCCAGGAAAGUAGAAAAGUGGAAGCAGAGAGCAAGAUGGAAUGAAACAGAAGAUUCAGGUAUAAGAUCUGAAGCAACAAAUGAAUUGUGCCAGCUGCUGAUUCUUUGUGAAUGCUCCCCACAAGAAGUAGGGGCGCUGGGUCAUUCUGGAGGGAACUAGGGUGGGACAGAAAGCAGAGAAGACCGAGAAUAAAGGUUAUGUGGGCAAGGCUACAGGAGAAGCAGCGGGAGGAAGAACAGACGGGCUGGACUAAAAACGGAAUUAGGUAAACCACAUUGGACACCAUCCUAAGGCAACGUUUCAGGUGUGGUCAAAAACAUACAAAAGUACACUAAUAAAUUUUUAUACUUUGUCAACGUGUUACACUUAGGAAGUGUAACAUUAAGAAAAAACCUUUUACUAAUUCAAUUUUAGAGAAAGAAACUUAUACUCAUGGGAGGAGGAAAAUGUCUAGCUUCAGUUGGAAACAGCAAAGAACUUAAAAACAUUAAAAAUAAAAUCAAAGAAUAUCACAAGUCAAUAAAUGGCUUACAGCAACAACAGAGAAAGAGGAGUAUGAGGAGUAUGGUUCUAAGGGAAAUGGUGGUCACCAGCUGGCUUGGUGUGUCGGUGGCCUAGAGGACUAGGGAGGCGUCGGCUGAGCACCUGUGCUAUAUCAGGUUCUUGCUCAGCACAUCGCAUUGGAUAGCUCACUCAACACCCACAAAAGCCCCAGGAAAGAUUAUCUGCCCCAUGUUACAGACGAGGAAACUGAUGACUCCUACUUGACUGAGGGGUUGCAAUAUCAAGCAGCAGAACCAAGAUGCAAAUCUUCAUCCCAUUCUUCAAAGGAACACUCUAUCCUUAACCACACUUUUUCCUUUCAGGAGGUUUUGUUGUUUACAAAUAUACCUGUAUUUAUUUUUCUGUAUUUGUUUAUUUAUUUUG